rnacentral:rRNA from 1 species
GACGAACGCUGGCGGCGUGCUUAACACAUGCAAGUCGAACGGAAAGGCCCUGCUUUUGUGGGGUGCUCGAGUGGCGAACGGGUGAGUAACACGUGAGUAACCUGCCCUUGACUUUGGGAUAACUUCAGGAAACUGGGGCUAAUACCGGAUAGGAGCUCCUGCUGCAUGGUGGGGGUUGGAAAGUUUCGGCGGUUGGGGAUGGACUCGCGGCUUAUCAGCUUGUUGGUGGGGUAGUGGCUUACCAAGGCUUUGACGGGUAGCCGGCCUGAGAGGGUGACCGGACACAUUGAGACAGAGAUACGGCAGAGACUUACGGGAGGGACAGGAGUGGAAAAUAUUACAAAAGGGGGGGAAGUGAGAUACAGCAACGGCGCGUGGGAGAUGGGGGCCCGGGGGUUGAAAACCGCUUGCGUCUGACGAAGCGUGAGUGACGGUAAUGGGUAAAGAAGCACCGGCUAACUACGUG